rnacentral:misc_RNA from 1 species
CUAGUCAAUGAGAACAAGAUGAAAAUUAUUAGAAGAGUAAAAAUCAAACUGCAUGAUGAUCAUAUAAAAGUGUUCGAUAAAGUGAGAUACGUUCCUAAAUUUAAAAAGGAAAUUAAUUUUCUUGGGUAAGUUGAAUUUUUUGGGUUAUAGAUAUUUGAUUCAUGGUGGAGUUACGAGAAUUAGCCGAGGUAUUUUUGUGAUAAUGAAUGAUGAGAAGAUUGGUACAAAGAAU